rnacentral:miRNA from 1 species
GCAGAUCAGGACUGUAACUCACC